AACGAACGCUGGCGGCGUGGAUUAGGCAUGCAAGUCGAACGUGAAAGGGGCUUCGGCCCUGAGUAAAGUGGCAAACGGGUGAGUAACGCGUGGAGAACCUGCCCGGAAGCGGGGGAUAACACUUCUAACGAGGUGCUAAUACCGCAUGUGUCUGCGUGAGCGCAUGCUCGCGCAGGUAAACGUGGCCUCUGCUCGCAAGCUACGGCUUCCGGAUGGCUCUGCGUCUCAUUAGCUAGUUGGUGGGGUAACGGCUCACCAAGGCGACGAUGGGUAGCUGGUCUGAGAGGAUGGUCAGCCACACUGGGACUGAGAUACGGCCCAGACUCCUACGGGAGCAGCAGUCGAGAGGCUUCCGCAAUGGGGAAACCCUGACGGAGCGACGCCGCGUGAGCGAUGAAGGCC
rnacentral:rRNA from 1 species